AUGAAUUUUUUUUUUUACAUUCCACAGGAUUUUUCUGCAGGGCCUCGCUGUGUCCACCUGUCCAUGCCUUGCAUUGUCCUUAUGCCAUCUCAAAGCAGCCUCUGGGAUGCGUCUGCAUGUCCCUCACUCUUCGCACAGACUGGAUCUGGGGGUGAUUGGCACACCAUUCUUUCCAGUGUUUGUAGGAUCCAAAUUCAAACAGGCCGCGGCUGGAUGUCUGAUGUCUACUUCCAUCAGCAGAAAGCGUGGCUCUCAAAGGCCCCUAUCUCUUCAACUCUCUCUCUCUCUCUCUCUCUCAAACAUGCACUCAUCCACUCUCUACAACACAGCUAGCAAUGUGCUGACCUCAGUAGACUGGCCACAGACCUCUCCAUUGAGAGAAAGAGGACUUGUUGCUAUUGUGUGAAGCUUCAGCAGUUUUAUUUGGUGGUUACAGUUAAAUUUUAAGUUGUCAAGGAUUUGGAGCUUAAGUUAAGAGUAGAAAAACAGAUGCACAACAUUUGCCAGACUAUUAAAUAUUUUACAAUUAUAAAUAGUGAUGCAUGUAAUUAUUCACACAGUCAAAUGCAUUUGACCAUCAAAAAGUAUGUCUUAAUGAAGAACCACAUUGACACUUACCUAAAAAGCUGAAAAAUUAUUAAUCUUCUUAUUUACUUGAAUGCCAUCAUUCGCACGCUUCAUUUUACUUAGUCAUGCACCUCCUAGUGCGACACUGGGCCCCAUCCAUGCAGCCUGCUUUGCAUAAAGUCAAAGAGGUGGGCAGGACAUGGAUGUUGAAUGGAUGUGCUUGUAAGGGCCUAUUGUGUAUGUAUGCAUAUGUGUGCGAGUAUGUAAAGGCAGGUGGAAGUGGGUCUCUGAAUCACUCUGUGGCUAGAGGAGAGCAGACAAGUCUCAGUGCAGGAUAAAAAUGGACUUUUAACGACAGAUAACACUUAAAAACCACCAUGUUUAAACCUUUUUGGUGGUUGCAAUGCUUUUAUCAACCAUUUUUGAAAACCUGGAAGACACUGUUUGUGUUGUCUAUGCUGGAACAAUCUUAAGUCGAAACAGCUUGCUUGUGUUUAUGCAAGCAUGUGUGUUUUACCAUACGCUCCGGUCAUAUGUAAAAACAUGCAUGGAAUCAUUGUGCCUGGCAUCCACUCCUGUGGCAAAUGCCAGUAGGCACGAUGCCUCCCUGGCUACGGCAGAUGGCAUUGUGAGCUGGGUAAAGCCAAAGGCUCAGUCCAAAACAAUGAGGCCUGGGGCAAAGUGCUGACUCCUGCCUGCCCUGUGGCCAAUCUUCCCUUUCUGCCAUGCUACAUAUAAAUAGAGCCCUUAGUUGGUGGUCUGGAGACCGUUGUGUGGGGCUCCUGAGCGCUUGCAGCUAUUUGUUGUGUAGGUCAGGUAAGCCUUUCAUGGUUGUCCUUUCAGCCACUGUAGUCAUCUUUUAGCAUGCUUUGCAAACUCAAACGAGGGAUGCACUAUCUUGUAUACACAAUUAAAAACUCAAACAUAGCAAGCAUAUACGUGGCUGUUUUUGAGAAAAUAUGCAUGGACACUAUUUUUUUUCAUAUUGGCAUUUCAGAAAAUUUAAUGUAAAACAACAGAUUAAAUUAGUAUUACAUUGAAUCAGUUAAAUUAAGUUAAAUUAAUUAAACAAACGAAGGGAUGCACUAUCUUGUAUACAACAAUUAAAAACUCAA
rnacentral:lncRNA from 1 species